rnacentral:rRNA from 1 species
GAUGAACGCUGGCGGCGUGCCUAAUACAUGCCAGUCGAGCGAACAGACGAGGAGCUUGCUCCUCUGACGUUAGCGGCGGACGGGUGAGUAACACGUGGAUAACCUACCUAUAAGACUGGGAUAACUUCGGGAAACCGGAGCUAAUACCGGAUAAUAUAUUGAACCGCAUGGUUCAAUAGUGAAAGACGGUUUUGCUGUCACUUAUAGAUGUAUCCGCGCCGCAUUAGCUAGUUGGUAAGGUAACGGCUUACCAAGGCAACGAUGCGUAGCCGACCUGAGAGGGUGAUCGGCCACACUGGAACUGAGACACGGUCCAGACUCCUACGGGAGGCAGCAGUAGGGAAUCUUCCGCAAUGGGCGAAAGCCUGACGGAGCAACGCCGCGUGAGUGAUGAAGGUCUUCGGAUCGUAAAACUCUGUUAUUAGGGAAGAACAAAUGUGUAAGUAACUAUGCACGUCUUGACGGUACCUAAUCAGAAAGCCACGGCUAACUACGUG